rnacentral:lncRNA from 1 species
GACCACUCCAAGCUUCUCGUUGCUACCCUGUUCCGAUUAGAAAUAGAGAUUCAAGAAGCUAUGCUACGUCCUGAGAGAAGAGUUCCAACAAAAUCUACUGUAAGUUCCCAAGACACUCUUUUUCCAGAAAAUCAUUCCUCUGCUUUGCAUAAAGCGAUCCAUGAAUCUGUAGAAGAGGAACCUGUAUGGUUAGGACAUUGUCUUGUUGGGUCAAUUAAAGAGGGUGUGAAUUAACGUGGGCCUGGUUUCACUAUGCAAUAGAGACAAUGAAGAUAAAGCAGGAAGAGGAAAAGAAGCCUCAAUUGCUCAACAUGGCAAAUUCAGUUGAAGUGACUCGACUCAAAGAAACCAAAUUCAGUUGUUUAUAUUUGCUUUGGAAGCAUGGCGAACUUCACUGCCUCUCAGCUUAAGGAGAUUGCAGCAGGUCUCGAAGCUUCUGGGCAUCAAUUUAUCUGGGUAGUUAGAAGAAGCAAAAAGGGUCAAGAAGACAAGGAAGAUUGUUUACUUCAAGGAUUUUAGGGAAGAAUGGAAGGCAAAGGCCUAAUUAUUAGAGGAUGGGCACUCCAAGUUUUGAUUCUUGAUCAUGAAGCAAUAGGUGCAUUUGUGACUCAUUGAGGAUGGUGACCGAUGUUUUGCUGAGCAAUUCCAUAAUGAAAAGUUGGUGACCGAUGUUUUAAAAACUGGAGUUGGUGUUGGAGUUAAGGAAUGGCUUACAGUGCAUGGAGAUUGUUGUAACCUAUUUUUGGGUCCCCCCACAAAAAUAUAAAUAUAUAGCCGGAAGAAAUUAGAAAAAUAAUAAAAGGUGGGAGCGCUCAGAAAAGAAUCAGAAAAAUUGAUGAAGGAGGUUCAGAAAUACAAGGAGUGAAAUUUUUUACAGGAUAUACUUGAAUGAUGAGAGCCCUGUUAGAAAAGAAAAAUUAAUUUUGAAGAGAAAAGGCCAAAAUUGGAUGUUUAUGGACUCAAUUGGAUUUUAUUGAAGGUUUAAUUGAAUUUAUAGAGGAUUUGAUUGCAAGAAAAAUUGAUUUUUAAGUCAAUUUAGGCUUUAAUUGGAAGAAAUUAAAGUUCUGGGGUCGAAUUAUAAUUUUUGAGAGUUGAUUUAGUUAAAUCAGGGGUUAAAUUGAAGAAAUUGAAAGUUUGUUGAUCAAUUGAGGGUCAAAUUGCAUAAAUCAGAGACCAAGGACCGAAGUGAAACACACGGCCAACUAUGGGGGCGGAGACCGAAAUACUGUUCCUCUUUCUUCUUCCCCCAAACAUGCAGCGGGGAAGAAGGAAAAAGGAGCUUUUGUUUAAAUUUUGUCGGGGCCUCUCUCGCCUGGAGCCCACCGACCAACCCGAGGCCCCAUGCCGUUGGAGCCGAACCUCGACAGUAGCACCCAAUGGCCGACCAGCCGCCGCUUGCCCUACUCCCAUGCGCAACGGUAAGAAGCCCCACUCACUUGGCUCUAUAAAUAGCACCCAACACAGCAGUAAAGGGGGGAGGGGAAAACGGAAAAAAAAAACAGAGGAGAGGGGGAUUUUGGAGGGAUGAGAGAGGGCUCUUUUGAAACUGAAAAGGGAGGGAGAGUUUGAACGAAAGAGAAAGGAGGAGGAAGGAAACACAGGAGGACAAGACAGAUAGAAGAGGGGAGAGACAGACAGAGGGGGAGACGAUAGAGACAGGAGGCAGGAGGGAAAGGAAAGCACAAAAAAAAAUAAACAGAGAAAGACACAGAAGAAGGAACGAAAGCAGGGGAACCUUUGGAAAGUUGAACGAGAGAAAAGUGAAUGGAGAGCAGAGAAGGAAAGGAUUUCUGAAACAGAGGGAGGAAAAAUACAAACGCACCAACACUGCUAGGGAUCUUCGUUUUCUUGCUCACCUGCUUCUCCCUCCCGCUGCAGCACCACAACACCACUGGAAAAAAAAAAAGCAGCAACAGCACCUCUGCAAGGAGAAGAAGAACUGAGCCUCACUCCUGGAACCGCUGCCAUUCCUCUUCAUCAACACUGCCCACCUCCUUCCUCAGCUCAUCAUCUUCAUCCCAACCGGCGCUGCACCAUUGGAAGAAAAGGCGGCAUUUGCUCUGCACGGGGAAGAAGAAGGAGUAAACAGCUGUUGUCCUCAACCUUCCCAGCCACUGUCAUCUUCCUCCCACCCGUUGCUGCGCCAUUUGAAGAAGGGCAGCGACCUGCACCUCUACUCAGACGAAGAUAGCAGCAGCAAGACACUGCCAGACACCAACUCACCAAGGAUAGCUCACCAUCUUCAUCCCAGCCAUUCCCUACCACCUGCACCUCCAUGAAGUUGAUGUAGAGAGGGAAGAACAGCGUUGACAGAGGAAACAAAGGAAACCAAGAGAAGGAGCAACGCCUCUGCAGAGGGGAAGAGAAAACAGCUGCUGUCCCCGGCUUCCACAGCCACCGACCAACAUCCAAGCCACCCCCGGUCGGCCACCAUCAUCACCACCUCCAGCUGCCACCAUUCUCUCAGUCGGCAACAGCACCAUGAGAAAUGGAAGGAGAAGACAGAAACAGAGGGAAACAGAGUAGAAAAAAAACACAGAGAAGAAAGGAAGAAAGGCCGACCACCCUCCCGGUCAUCCUCCGGUCAGCAACCGCCAGCAGCACCGCCUUCAGAGCCACCACAGGUCAGCCCUCUGACCCUUAUCUCUGUUUACUGUUCAUCGUCUUGCAUGCAGAACGUGCACUGUGCACGUUCUGCAAGCAAGGAAAUAAUUACCCGGUUACUGUGUGCACAGUAACCGGUUAAUUAAUUAACGGGUUACUGUUCACCUGCACUGUGUGUACAGUGAACAAUAACCAGCCAUGUGGUUUUGGGCUGGGCUGAGUCCAGCCCUGUAGAAACCAGGCCCCAAUUUAUUUCGGGCCGAUUUUGGCCCAGUUUCCUUUUGGGCCGGGUCUGGCCCGCUCGAACAAAAAUUCUUCAAAAAAUUAUUUCAAAAAAUGUGAUUUUCUGUAAUUUUAUUACUGUAUUUUGAUCAAUAUCGGUUUGUAUUUUUAUACUGUAAAGAUACAAAUCCGGUUUUAAAAUAAUCGGUUUUUGUCAAGUUUUCAAAAAAUGUUUUGUUUUCAUGCAUACGGCCUAGUCUCUCCAAUAUAUAUAUAUAUAUAAAUAUUAUAACAUCAUAUUUUUACACAACAAAGGAAAUUUUCAAAAAACAAUAUAUGUAUUAGCAUGCAUUUUGGCUUUAAUAACCAGUCUAUUUAAGCCAUGAGAACUAGGCCAAUAUUUCAAAAAUUCUAAAAAAUCUUUUGUUUUCUUUUAGUAUUUGGGAUUACGAAUUUAUACGUAAAACGUAUUCCUAAAUAUUAAUAAUAAAGUUUUGGUAUAGACAUUAGAACGGUUAGGACUUUACCCGAGAAGAUAAAGACCUUCUUACUAAGGAGGAUUUUUCUUGAACCAUAGACAGACCAACAACUAGGAAAACAUGAAAACACCUUAAAUUUUAUCAGACAAUAAAACGAUGCAGCUUACCUUAGGUAGGGCGUAUUUGGGGUGCUAAUACCUUCCCUUUACGCAACCAGUCCCCGUACCCGAUCUCUGAGACCAGUUAGGGUUUCUAGUGACCAAAAUACUAGGUGGCGACUCCCAUUCCAUUUUCUACCAAUAAAAGACUAUUUUUUUUGUAUCCCCAUAGAUAUAGAUAAAUUUACAUUGUAGAUUUAAGAAAAUGGAAAAAAAACUUCAAUAGAUUUUCGCCGCGACGCCGCACACGUGCGACAGAAUGGCGACUCCACUGGGGACCUUGUGGACUAAGCUUUGUUUUUGUCUGAAUUGUUUUUGUUUUCGUGUGUUUUUUAAUAUACCUUUCCUUUUGUUAUCUGCUUAUAUGCUUUAAAUAUUUUUACGCAUAUUGUUCAUGCAUUUGUAUAGAACUGUCUCAUGCAUCUUAUAGAACUGUCACAUGCAUCACAUACUUUGAUUUUGAGAAGCACACACAAGCUUUAAGCUAGGAGGGGGAUUAGCGAUCUGCCCUAUGACUAUUGGUCAGGGUUCAGAUGCGUGAAACACCCAACUCAUAUCUGAGUGCCUGCUUGGUAAUGGUGGGUAUACUUACCUUAACUGUUCCUUGCAACGCCCCCAUACUGUCUUUACGAAGAACGUCACUGGGCAGAUAUGAGACCCUUUUAAAGACCAAAUAGAAAACCUACCCAUUCUCACCUAAUAAAUAGAACUUGUCCUUGGGAUAUCUAUCUUACGUUCAUUUGCAUCAUGAUUAAUAAUGUUAAAUUCAUCAAUCCAGGUUCUGAGCCGAAAUCAUGACUAAGUACCUAUCUUUCCAAGAGUUUGGGCAAGACUCUGAGUUGACUCAAGUAGCUGAAGGAAAAUGCCCAAGAAUCGAUGCUAGUAGGUUGCCUUGUAUUACCAAGAUAAAUCACAUGGUAAAUGACUUGGGGAAGUUAGUGUUUAUUAUGGAAUAUAUUGAUGAGACUAUUUUUGAAAGGCGAUACGGGAGAAUUGCACAACUAAUGAGGUUACCCGUACAAGCAGCAGCAAUCAAAGCCCUGCUGAAUUUUUGGGAUCCUAGUUAUCGGAGUUUUACCUUUGGGAACAUUGAUAUGACACCGACUUUGGAGGAAUAUGAAAGGAUUCUAGAUUUUCCAAACAACAGCCACAAGAUCUAUCCAAGGCGAAGAUUUGAAGACACAGCUUCGGAGGUAGUCAGUUUAUUAGGCUUGGGAAAGAUUAGUCAAUGUAGAGUCGCCGAGGGGGGUUUCAAAUGGAAGAUCAUAGAAGCCCGAAUGAAGAAAAAUGCCGAAGAAGGCAAGUUAGGAGAGGAACGAUACAGGUUGGUGGCCUUCGCCAUUUUUGGGCUAGUAUUGUUCCCUUCCGAAAUCGGAGUCAUCAGUUUGGAAGCAGCAAGUGUCUUCAUAGAGUACGAGCGUGACCAGAUCAAUCCUUCAUCAGCCAUUUUGGGAGAAACCAUGUUAUCACUCAAUCAUUGCAGAAUGCAUGGAAAAGGAGCCAUGAGAUGUUGCACCCCUAUGUUGUAUUUAUGGAUUAUCAAUCAUAUCGAAACACCAAGGGACAUUUUUAACAACUUUUGGUGGUUUGACCUACGACCGUUAAAGGUUACCAUGGAUGAGACUUGGAAGAAUUGGGAUGAGAAAGCAUGGAUAGAUAAGUAUGCAACAUUGCCAAGGAGCAACUUCAAAUGGAAAGCACCAUGGAUGAACAAUGCCAUCUGCAAAAUGAGCUGUGGAAAUAAGAUAUGGGUUCGCUUGAUUGGUAUAACCGGGUACAUCAGUUACGCGCCCGCCCUAGUAACAAGACAGUUGGGUGGAAUGCAGUACGCGCCAAGAACUCUGGGUUUAGCUGAUUUCAUCGGUUUAUUCAAGCACCAACCCUUCCUCGAAGAGAUGGAGCUUAUCCGACAAGAUUGGGAAAGACCCCUGAUGGUAAAAAGGGAAGAAGGGAGCACAUUUGAAACAUCAUUCAGCCAGAAUUAUGCAGUUUGGAGGAAUGAAGAGCUUUUUGAAGAAAGGGGUUUCUCCAUACCAAAACAUCCAGAAUCCGCAAUAGAGCAACCAAAAAAGAAAAGGACUGAUAUUGAGGAAGAGCUGAGAAAGCAGCUAGAACAAUGUAGAAUUGAUCUCAGCAAGAGCAAAGGGCAGCUGCGACUGUUAGAAAAUCAAUUAGAGGAAGAAAACACGAUGAGGGUUUACUUGAACCAGCAGUUGGAAAAACAGGAUAAACAAUUGACAUCUUUAAAGGAAUGGCAGAAAAGGGCCGAGGUAGCUGAAGAAAUAGCAAAAGCGGUCCAGGCUGAGUUAAUGAAUCGAAUAACCGAGUAUGAUGAGUUGUCUAACAAAAACGGGCUCACACAAAAAGAGUUGGCUAAGGUUAAAAGAUCUACCAAAGGCAAGAUGAGUGUCGAUAAGGAGAUGGUGGAUUCCUUGAAAAAAGGAAGGAGCAUUCUUGUAAAGAAAGUAGAAGUUGAAAAAGAGAAAAAUCGGUUAGCCCAUCUCGACAUAGAAGAGGAAAGAAGGAUCAGAGCUCAAUAUAUGAUGCAACUGGAGGAAGAGAGAAGUUCAAGAAAGGCUGCAGAGUCUGAUAUGAGAGAUUACCAGAAAAGAGCCGAGUCUUCAAAAGGAAGGAUGAUGGCUUUACAAUCGGAAAUCAAGAUGCGAGAAGAAGAGAGAAGCCGUUACUUCGAGAUGGAAGAAGAGCUCAGUAAGGCUAAGCAAGAGCGUCAAGAAUGUCAAGAAUGUCAAGGCUACAUGGACAGCUUUACGGUCCAAAUUAACUCCAAAAUAGCCGAGCUGGAUAUCGAAAAGGAAGAACUGCAGAGGGUAAGGGAUAAGUUGGCCCGGUCGGAUGAUAUGGUUCGAGUGUUGGAAAGAAGUAAUGAAGCCCUAGGAGCCAGCAACGAAGUGAUAAUUGCAGAUAACACUGUGUUCCAUGAUAAGAUAAGGCAUAUAACGAAGCAGGUCGAGCAAGCAGCCCGUUAUGCGGAAAGGUUGCAACGACAAGCUACUCAAGUGGGAAAUGAUGCUUUAAAGUAUCGAGAAUAUAUGGCGGCCAUCACCUGUUUUAUUGGGGAUUUAGCUAAUAGAGGAAAUGCCUUUUAAGGGUAGCAAUGUAUAACGCCCUGUUCUGUUAUCAAUGUAUGAGCUUCUUCUAUUUAUAAGAAGGCAUGACCUAUCUUUCUUUCUAAAUAUGUUUUGGUAAGCUACUAUGAUAAAGAACUUGGCAAACCCUCCUUUACAGUAAUCGGGUCAACUCAGAAAUCUUGCCUAAAGGAUUACGAAAGUCAUGAGUCGGCUCUAAAAUAUACAUUGCAUGAGCAUCAUAUUUUCAUCACACAUUUUGUUUUUAAUUCAUCAUAUGCAUUCCAGAUCGUGAAACAUAGGUCCCACAUCCAGAGUCCACCAAACCCGGUCCAGAUCAAGAAUGGAAAAUGAAGAAAGAGCUCACUUAGAGUCGCACUACCAGACCGAGUUGGAAUCUGUGAAAAAUGAAGUUUCUCGACUGACCAAUCUGCUUGAGCAACUCUUAAGAGCCAAGAACGGGGAGGGAACGUCUACCCAACCACCUAUAGGAGCACCGUCAGUUCAUGUCCCGGGGGUAUCUCAGAACUUGGGGGCAGAUUCAGUGACGGGGCAGCAAUUUGCGCCUGCCAUUCCCAUUCAGCCCCCUCAAGCUCACAUCACUGUAGAUGGGCCUUCCGAUAAUAGGUCCACUGGAUUUAUGAACAAUGACAAGAUAUCAGCCUUGGAAGAAAGGUUAAGAGCAGUCGAGGGAAAUGACUGGUUUGACCCCAUGCGAGCGUCUGAAAUAUGCUUGGUGCCAAACAUCACGGUACCAAAAGAUUUUAGGAUACCGGAGUUUAUAAGGUACACUGGGUUGGAAUGCCCAAACACUCACCUUCGAUCUUAUUGCAAUAAGAUGGCUGAGGUGAUUCAUGACGAUAAGUUACUGAUCUACUUUUUCCAAGACAGUCUAUCGGGGUCGGCGCUAAGUUGGUACAUGAGGCUGGAUAAUACCAGGAUUAAGAAAUGGAAGGAUUUAGUGGAGGCUUUCCUUAAGCAAUACAAGUUCAAUUUGGAAAUUGCUCCAGAUCGAACAAGCCUUAUGUCAAUGGAAAAGAGAAGCCAAGAGUCAGUAAAGGCUUAUGCGCAAAGAUGGAGGGACGAGGCCACUUAUGUGCAACCUCCUUUGAUAGAAACGGAGAUGGUGACUUUGUUCGCCAAUACAUUCAAGGCACCCUACUAUGAGCAUUUAAUGGGUAGUUCAGCUCAGCAUUUCUAUGAUGUUGUACGCAUAGCGGAAAGAAUAGAUCAAGGGAUUAAAGCUGGACGCAUAAUUGAGCCAUUGGAGACAAAGGGUUUUAUUGGAAGAAAAAUGAAAGGUCCCGUUAACAACUUCGAAGGUGGGUCCAAUGACAAGAUAACGGAUUCAUAUAACCCUCAUGUGGCCCACAUAAACUUUAACAAAUCUUUUUCCCCUAAUCGAGCAAAUAACCAGUCAAACAUCCAAAACAACGACCAAAGACCAAACACAAGAUACAUUGCAGAACAACUACCGCCAUUACCCAUGCCUUUGAAGGAAAUGUAUGCCAAACUACUGAGCAUUGGACAAAUAGCUCUUAUCCCUACAUUACCACUACAACCACCAUUCCCCAUCUGGUAUAAGCCCGAGUUGACUUGCGAGUACCAUGCUGGUAUUCCCGGACAUUGUCUUGAAACGUGCUACGCUUUCAAGAACAUGUUGUUGAAGCUCAUCAAGAUAGGAUGGGUGUCGUUUGAAGACACACCCAAUAUCAAUUCAAAUCCAUUGCCUGGUCAUGACAAAAGUAAUAGGGGAUAAAGGGUUGGAAAACCUUGGUCAAGAAUCGUCAAUAAUGAAGAAGGCGAGAUCGAAGGAGAAGACAAGGAAACGCAAGUGGGGAAGGAAGAUGAAGCAUUGCCUCGGUUGACUUUCCAGAACGGGUUGACCCAAGAACUUCUCGUAGUUUUCAAAAUGUAAAACAACUUUAUUAGCCUUAGCAUGUUUUUGUCAUUUGCUUUUGUCAUUGCUUUUAUUUUCUCUAUUUGGCAAUCAGGGCUCAUGUUUUCAGCCAGAUUUUAUGUUUGUCUUUGAGCCCACCUUUUUUUAAUAAAUGAUGAGAUUAUGCACUUUUUGAACAAGUUUGAGUGGUUAUAUCAUAAAAUGGUUUAAUAUUAAAAUUUAAGAAAAGCUAACCCUAAAGUACAUCCCUACCUCUGAUAGCGUAAUAAAUGGAUAAAUGAUUAAGUGGUCACUUUAUAAUCAUCUGUAAUUGUCUUUAUCAACCAUAACAAUGUGCAUUUUGAAAAAAAAAAUCAUCAUUAUCCCUUCACGCACUAAAAAAGUUUAUCAUUGGCUGAAUGAAUUUCUUCUCUAUAAAAGCCCAGACUAGGAUCACACCCCUACACUGGGGGCAAAACGAGUUGUUUUUUGAAAAGUUUUACGUGUUUAAAAUUGGUUGGAAGCCCAUAGAUUUGAAAACCAAGCUAAAGCAUUUGACAAAAGCAUGACAAAAAGGCAAAUACAAGUCAUACAUUUUGAGAAAAGGACUACUUGAAGAAAGUCAAAGACUUCUUCUCCAAGAAUAUGAUAGGCAACACGAGAGAUGAAUUCAGCAUACGACUUCAAAAGUAAAGUUCAUGUUAAGAGGGAGUCUCAUGAACUAGAAGAAGAGGAUGGGGCCUAUGUUUCAAAACCAGGUACGAAUGCAUGCAUUGCAUCUAAUCAUAAAUCAUUGCAUGUAUAUUUUUUUGGAUCGUUACAGAAGGAGAUCUUAGCGCAUUCCAACAAGAUUAUGGACGAAGAAAGAAUCAUUGAGUUGAUUCUAGAACAACAAGAAGAGAAGAUAAUGGUUUUCAAACCAUGCCAGCAGGAAGAACGACAUCGAUAGCAUCCGGUAAAAAGGAAUCGCCAAAUGGGAUUCCAAGUUGUUGAGAUCGCCAGAAGGGAUCUCAUAUUUCGAUGGAGGUCGCCAGAAGGGACCUUAAAUUUCAGCUUUUGUAUAAAAGGAAUCGCCAGAUGGGAUUCCAAGUUGUUUGGAUAAAGGAGAUCGUCAGAAGGGAUCUUGUAUUUCGAUGAAGGUCGCCAGAAGGAACUUCAUGUUUUAGCUUUGGUAAAAGGAAUUGCCCGAUGUGAUUCCAAGUUAUUUGAGAUCACCAGAAAGGAUCUCGUACUUCGACAUUCAUCAAGGAAGGUCGCUAGAAGGGACCUCGUAUUGAAACUAUUUCUUAGAAAAGCAUGGAGUUUACUAAGAAUUCUUCCCCUUGGGUAGGUCACCCAUACAAUGAGACCAUCAUUUUUCUUGGGUCCGUCACCCAUACAAUGAGACCAUCAUUUUUCUUGGGUGAGUCACCCAUACAAUGAGACCAUCAUUUUUCUUGGGUGAGUCACCCAUACAAUGAGACCAUCAUUUUUCUUGGGUUAGUCACCCAUACAAUGAGACCAUCAUUUUUCCUGGGUAGGUCACCCAUACAAUGAGACCAUUCUUUAUCUUUUUUUACCUGGGUAGGUCACCCAUAAUAAUGAGGCCAUUCUUCCCCCUGGGUAGGUCACCCAUAAUAAUGAGACCACUCUUUCCUUUUCCCAUUCGGGCAGGUCACCCGUCAUAAUGAGACCACAUACGUGUUUUUGUAUUUGGUUAUGGGUAAAGGAAUCGCCAGAUGGGAUUCCAAGUUGAAUAAAGGAGAUCGCCAGAAGGGAUCUCGUAUUUUGCUAUUUGGAGGUCGCCAGAUGGGACCUCAUAUUUCGUUUGAAUAAAAGGAAUCGCCAGAUGGGAUUCCAAGUUGAAGGAGAUCGCCAGAAGGGAUCUCGUAUUUCGUUAUUUGGAGGUCGCCAGAUGGGACCUCGUAUUACAUGUUGGUUAAAAGGAAUCGCCAGAUGGGAUUCCAAGUUGAAGGAGAUCGCCAGAAGGGAUCUCGUAUUUCGCUAUUUGGAGGUCGCCAGAUGGGAUCUCAUAUUUCGUUUGAAUAAAAGGAAUCGCCAGAUGGGAUUCCAAGUUGAAGGAGAUCGCCAGAAGGGAUCUCGUGUUUCACUAUUUGGAGGUCGCCAGAUGGGACCUCGUAUUUCAUGUUGGUUAAAAAGAAAAAGAAAAAAAAAUAAAUAAUAAAAGAAAGGGAAUCGCCAGAUGGGAUUCCAAGUUGAGUAAGAAACAAUUAUAGAUUUUGGUUUAAAGAGAUCGCCAAAAGGGAUCUCAAGAUGACUAAAUUUUGAUCAUAGUUUUUUCGGGGUUGAGUAAAAAAAAAACAAGUUUCAGAUCAAUCAAGCUUCGACCAGAUCAGUUUUGGGAGUUCCGUUUGGGGUUUAUCUUUAUAAAACUUACUACGCAAAAACCCUGCUCCGUAAGCAUUAUAAAGAGGGGGCAUCUGUUGUAACCCAUUUUUGGGUCCCCCCACAAAAAUAUAAAUAUAUAGCCGGAAGAAAUUAGAAAAAUAAUAAAAGGUGGGAGCGCUCAGAAAAGAAUCAGAAAAAUUGAUGAAGGAGGUUCAGAAAUACAAGGAGUGAAAUUUUUUACAGGAUAUACUUGAAUGAUGAGAGCCCUGUUAGAAAAGAAAAAUUAAUUUUGAAGAGAAAAGGCCAAAAUUGGAUGUUUAUGGACUCAAUUGGAUUUUAUUGAAGGUUUAAUUGAAUUUAUAGAGGAUUUGAUUGCAAGAAAAAUUAAUUUUUAAGUCAAUUUAGGCUUUAAUUGGAAGAAAUUAAAGUUCUGGGGUCGAAUUAUAAUUUUUGAGAGUUGAUUUAGUUAAAUCAGGGGUUAAAUUGAAGAAAUUGAAAGUUUGUUGAUCAAUUGAGGGUCAAAUUGCAUAAAUCAGAGACCAAGGACCGAAGUGAAACACACGACCAACUAUGGGGGGCGGAGACCGAAAUACUGUUCCUCUUUCUUCUUCCCCCGAACAUGCAGCGGGGAAGAAGGAAAAAGGAGCUUUUGUUUAAAUUUUGUCGGGGCCUCUCUCGCCUGGAGCCCACCGACCAACCCGAGGCCCCAUGCCGUUGGAGCCGAACCUCGACAGUAGCACCCAAUGGCCGACCAGCCGCCGCUUGCCCUGCUCCCAUGCGCAACGGUAAGAAGCCCCACUCACUUGGCUCUAUAAAUAGCACCCAACACAGCAGUAAAGGGGGGAGGGGAAAACGGAAAAAAAAAAACAGAGGAGAGGGGGAUUUUGGAGGGAUGAGAGAGGGCUCUUUUGAAACUGAAAAGGGAGGGAGAGUUUGAACGAAAGAGAAAGGAGGAGGAAGGAAACACAGGAGGACAAGACAGAUAGAAGAGGGGAGAGACAGACAGAGGGGGAGACGAUAGAGACAGGAGGCAGGAGGGAAAGGAAAGCACAAAAAAAAAUAAACAGAGAAAGACACAGAAGAAGGAACGAAAGCAGGGGAACCUUUGGAAAGUUGAACGAGAGAAAAGUGAAUGGAGAGCAGAGAAGGAAAGGAUUUCUGAAACAGAGGGAGGAAAAAUACAAACGCACCAACACUGCUAGGGAUCUUCGUUUUCUUGCUCACCUGCUUCUCCCUCCCGCUGCAGCACCACAACACCACUGGAAAAAAAAAAAGCAGCAACAGCACCUCUGCAAGGAGAAGAAGAACUGAGCCUCACUCCUGGAACCGCUGCCAUUCCUCUUCAUCAACACUGCCCACCUCCUUCCUCAGCUCAUCAUCUUCAUCCCAACCGGCGCUGCACCAUUGGAAGAAAAGGCGGCAUUUGCUCUGCACGGGGAAGAAGAAGGAGUAAACAGCUGUUGUCCUCAACCUUCCCAGCCACUGUCAUCUUCCUCCCACCCGUUGCUGCGCCAUUUGAAGAAGGGCAGCGACCUGCACCUCUACUCAGACGAAGAUAGCAGCAGCAAGACACUGCCAGACACCAACUCACCAAGGAUAGCUCACCAUCUUCAUCCCAGCCAUUCCCUACCACCUGCACCUCCAUGAAGUUGAUGUAGAGAGGGAAGAACAGCGUUGACAGAGGAAACAAAGGAAACCAAGAGAAGGAGCAACGCCUCUGCAGAGGGGAAGAGAAAACAGCUGCUGUCCCCGGCUUCCACAGCCACCGACCAACAUCCAAGCCACCCCCGGUCGGCCACCAUCAUCACCACCUCCAGCUGCCACCAUUCUCUCAGUCGGCAACAGCACCAUGAGAAAUGGAAGGAGAAGACAGAAACAGAGGGAAACAGAGUAGAAAAAAAACACAGAGAAGAAAGGAAGAAAGGCCGACCACCCUCCCGGUCAUCCUCCGGUCAGCAACCGCCAGCAGCACCGCCUUCAGAGCCACCACAGGUCAGCCCUCUGACCCUUAUCUCUGUUUACUGUUCAUCGUCUUGCAUGCAGAACGUGCACUGUGCACGUUCUGCAAGCAAGGAAAUAAUUACCCGGUUACUGUGUGCACAGUAACCGGUUAAUUAAUUAACGGGUUACUGUUCACCUGCACUGUGUGUACAGUGAACAGUAACCAGCCAUGUGGUUUUGGGCUGGGCUGAGUCCAGCCCUGUAGAAACCAGGCCCCAAUUUAUUUCGGGCCGAUUUUGGCCCAGUUUCCUUUUGGGCCGGGUCUGGCCCGCUCGAACAAAAAUUCUUCAAAAAAUUAUUUCAAAAAAUGUGAUUUUCUGUAAUUUUAUUACUGUAUUUUGAUCAAUAUCGGUUUGUAUUUUUAUACUGUAAAGAUACAAAUCCGGUUUUAAAAUAAUCGGUUUUUGUCAAGUUUUCAAAAAAUGUUUUGUUUUCAUGCAUACGGCCUAGUCUCUCCAAUAUAUAUAUAUAUAUAAAAAUAUUAUAACAUCAUAUUUUUACACAACAAAGGAAAUUUUCAAAAAACAAUAUAUGUAUUAGCAUGCAUUUUGGCUUUAAUAACCAGUCUAUUUAAGCCAUGAGAACUAGGCCAAUAUUUCAAAAAUUCUAAAAAAUCUUUUGUUUUCUUUUAGUAUUUGGGAUUACGAAUUUAUACGUAAAACGUAUUCCUAAAUAUUAAUAAUAAAGUUUUGGUAUAGACAUUAGAAUGGUUAGGACUUUACCCGAGAAGAUAAAGACCUUCUUACUAAGGAGGAUUUUUCUUGAACCAUAGACAGACCAACAACUAGGAAAACAUGAAAACACCUUAAAUUUUAUCAGACAAUAAAACGAUGCAGCUUACCUUAGGUAGGGUGUAUUUGGGGUGCUAAUACCUUCCCUUUACGCAACCAGUCCCCGUACCCGAUCUCUGAGACCAGUUAGGGUUCCUAGUGACCAAAAUACUAGGUGGCGACUCCCAUUCCAUUUUCUACCAAUAAAAGACAAUAUUUUUUUUGUAUCCCCAUAGAUAUAGAUAAAUUUACAUUGUAGAUUUAAGAAAAUAGAAAAAAAACUUCAAUAGAUUUUCGCCGCGACGCCGCACACGUGCGACAGAGAUCAUGUUAAAAGUGAAGUUGUAGAGAAGCAGAGGAAAUGAGGAGCAGAACAAAGAAGCUAGAAGAAACAACCAGGAAUGCUGUUGAAGAAGGUGGAUCUUCUUGCUCCAAUUUCAGUGCUUUGAUUGAAUAGCUGAGGUGGGGUCGCCCUUGAUACAAAUGCAGAUAUAAGUGUUGUCACGCAUGCAUAGAAUAUUUUGUUUGUACUUAGUAGUGAUUUUGGCAAUUUACAGUAUUAUCAUUCCCUUUAUACAACUUAAUCAAGUCCUCUCUCCUCGAAAAAAAAAAUCAACUACAAAUUAACAAAGUUGCGAGAAUGAGAGUUGAAUGCAGACGCAGGUCACUUUUCAUUUUAUUUUUAGACAAGUCUUGAGAGUUGAAAGAGUAAUCUAUGCAGCUUACAUUUUUAGCCCAAAUAACUAAUCAAAUAAAAAAGUUGAGCUUAGAGACAGUACACUAUAAAGCAUGCACUAGAUAGACAUGCAGGACAAACAAUCAUCACAAACUAGGAACAAUCGUCUCCCCAACAAAUUCACCACAAAAUAAUUGCAAGAAUCUAUGCAGUUUUCAAUGAAGUAAAAACCACCUGCGUCGCCAAUAUGAAUUGAUGUAAAGAAUUGCAAGAAGCGUCUUCACCACAACUAUAUAACAUAUACCAAAACUGAGGUAGAAAAACUUCAUAUCUAUGAAACCAUCAUCUCCUUGUUCAUCAUUAUCCUUUGGUUGCCUGAUUCUUCUUCAUUACAAUUAUUUCCCAAUGGAGAUCCACACAAAAAAAAGAUUUUCUUCAUAACUGUUUUCAUUGAAGGUCUCAAACUGAUAUUUUUUUUCGAGAGUCUUACCUGAUAAGUUAUUAUACGCCACACUAAAAACUGCUAGUAAGUUGCCGAGAGAUGAUAUCAUUCAAGUUGUUGUUAGAAAGAUCCAAACUUUCUAUUUGCUUCAAAUUUGAGAGCAUUGCAGAUAUAGAUCGAGCGAUAUUGUUGUGUGAUAAAAUUUCCAUCAUUUUUUUUAAUAAAUAUUAAACCAUUAUUUCUUUAAACAAAUAUGAAAAGAGAGUGCAGAAUCUAAAAUUCAUGAAUUUCUCAAAAACCUCAUUGCCUCUAUAAACCAUGAGAACAUCUUUAUGAUUUGUACAAUCGCAGCAUCUCUAGACUUCUUGCUCCUUAGCUUCAGUUCUUCUACAUUGGCUUUCUCCUUCUCACAGUGAUACUGAAUAGAGUCUUCUUCAGGAUAAUACAACAUUUUUUUAUCACUAUAAUCCACUCUAGGUCUAAGAUUUGAUACAGAGUUACUCCUACCAAAAUUAUUUUCUUAUACUAUUUUUCUAACGCGAAAAUCAUAAUUUUGCUUUUGAAAGAAACCCAUUACAAUUAAUGUCGUCUUAUAAUUGACAUAAUUAUUUUCUACUUCUUAAAUCUUAUCAUUAUCAUUUUUUGUACCUCUUCCACCCUCCAUAAAGUUACCAUUUAACUCCGCUUUUGAGAUUAAAUCUUAAACUUCUUUAGAUUAAUUUUUUCGUACCCUUGAAAUUGUUAUAAACACAAGUUAAAUCUUGACUUAUAUAACAUUUCAAGUUAAUGGCUAGGAUUAUGCAAAAUGAGAAAUAAUAGAUGAGUAGUAUACUGAAAAUAAAUAUAUAUUAUACGUGGAGCAGGUAUAAAAUCAAGUCCUCUUUCUAGUUUAUUUUCUAUAUAAAGAUUUAUAAUAACUUUUUGAAAAAUAAAAAUAAAGCAAAACAAAAUUAAAUAUUUUAAAAAUCUUUCUAUAUUUAUAAUAUUCUUAUUACUUAGAGUUUUAACUUAUAACAGAUCAAGAGACCUAGUUUGAAAAGCAUUUGAACAUAAGGACUUCAAAUGCUUUGGGCCAUGGGUCGAGACUUGAGAGGUGGUUGGUUUCAUUAUGGCCCAUCUUUCCUAAAUCUCACACCAAUUAAACAAUCAAAAUCAAACACUGCAUGCAAGCAAGCAAGAUCUUAAAACACAUUUUCUUACAAACACAAACAAAAUCUUUCAUUUUUAACAACAUUUCACAUACGACACAAGGUUCAAUCCAUCAGGGCAUAGCAAGAUCUCAAAACACAUUUUCUUACAAACACAAACAAAAUCUUUCCUUUUUAACAACAUUUCACAUACGACACAAGGUUCAAUCCAUCAGGGCAUAGCAAG